UGUCUCCCACACUUUACUUGGGCAGGCAGCCCAGGUAUAUUAACAGCUGCCCAGCCGUCCAGGUACAGUAUAUGAACAGCCACCCAGGUAUAUGAACAGCCACCCAGGUAUAUUAACAGCUGCCCAGCCGUCCAGGUACAGUAUAUGAACAGCCACCCAGGUAUAUUAACAGCUGCCCAGCCGUCCAGGUACAGUUUAUGAACAGCCACCCAGGUAUAUUAACAGCUGCCCAGCCGUCCAGGUACAGUAUAUGAACAGCCACCCAGGUAUAUUAACAGCUGCCCAGCCGUCCAGGUACAGUAUAUGAACAGCCACCCAGGUAUAUUAACAGCAGCCCAGGUAUAUGAACAGCAGCCCAGGUAUAUGAACAGCAGCCCAGGUAUAUUAACAGCAGCCCAGGUAUAUUUGGCGACACAUGCGACGCACCAGCUGCUGUGAAAUUGGAAAAAUCCAAAAGACAAGAAAUUUAUAAAACAUACUGCUGAUAGAGAAAGUCAGCAGAGCAGACACACACAGAGAGACAGAAAGAGGCAAGGCAAGCCGGGGUGUUUGCAGUAAGAGACCAGAGGUGUAGAUAUGUGCGUGGGGAAAAGAGAACUGAAAGGAACAAUGCAGAUUUAAGUAGUGAAUAAAUAAGGUGGAGAAUGAAGUAGAAUUAAAUGGUGAAAUAAGACAUAUACCUGAUUCCCCCUCCCCCACAUUGUGUAGCUGGAUGCUGCCGGCAGGUUUAAUUCAGACACAGAUUAUUGUUUUCCAUAGAAACCCUCCAAAAAAGGGUACUUUUGAGGUUAACAUGAACAACACGUGAAGCGUGUAGUGUGGGCUGUUGACGUGACAUGGCAAUUUCACAGUCACAGAAGAUAAAAGUUAAUAACAAUGAUUUUGUCAUGAUUUAAAGUGCAGUAAAUGGUUAAAACUGUGUUUGUUUUACAAGGACCUGUUGUUGUAAAAACAGCUUUGUUAUUAGAUUUUUUACAUUUGUGAGCCAAAUCUCAAAAUUGUCCUAUGGUGUGACUUGAUGGUGCAUGGUUCAAUAAAUUACAACUUUUAUAAAAUAAAAUGAUUGAUAAAUACCUCAGGCAUAAUGUUACACGUGUCUAUUUUAGUAAAUGGCAAUCAUUUAUUUCAUCCAUAUAUUUCUGAAAGCGUAGGAGCUUGAUACAUUUGGUCACUGAAAACCAUGUCCUCUGGUGUGACACAAUAUCUUAAUUUUAAUCGGGCAAUUCAACAGACAACCUUAUUUAAUUGAAAGACCACAUUAAAGUUAAAGGUACUGAAGCCCCCUGAGAAGCCCUUUUUCCGAACCACUAUAAAAGUGUUAAGGUUUUUUGUCCUUUGGUGUGACAGGGCAAAAUUUUUUUAAAUUCAAAAUUGUUUGUUAAAGUACAUAAUUAUACUACGCUACCACUUUCCUCUGAUAUUGUUUGUAUAGACAUUACAUAUUGAAAGUUAAGUAAAAAUGCUUUAAUGUAAUACCAUUUACUUCCUCUUUAAUCAAAUAACCAUUAUUGUCCUUUAGUGUGAUGUAAUGUUCUAUAGUGUGACACACAUAAAAGAACCAAAUAUGUGUGUUUAUCUCCAAAUAUCUUUAAUGAAAACAGUUCAAUAUUUCAUUAGGGGAGAUAUAGUCAUCACUCAUCAUACAUUUGUAUAACUUUCAACAGUUUUGAAAGGAUGAGAUCAAAGUCUAACUCACUUGUAUUCAAACGGUGCAAGUCCGAGUCCAAUUCAUGGGGAAAAAUAGUAUUAUUCAAAAUUUCUAAUCCAGUAAAUAACAGUAUAUGAAAAAAAAGUCUUCACAAGUCAUCACACCAUAGGACACAUUUACAGUGCAGUUCAAAAGUCUUUACUCAUCUGGUAUGAAAAAAAUCUGCUCAAGAUCCAAGUGCUGUUACCUUACAGAAAGUGUGCUUAAGACUGCAUGUAGAGCAGGUCGACUUGAAUGACUUGAAAGAGAUUUAUUACAUAUACAAGUUCCUUCCUUAUCUAACCUUAUCUAAUUAUAAAAUAAAAAACAUGUAAUAUAAGUAAAUA